CAGCGUGGUAAAGCCAGCCUAUUACUAAAGAACUUCUCCCUACCAGCUGUUCGUCGCACACAUAAAAUCUAUCAGGAGGAAGGUAAAGGAGUACUUUACUCGGUCAUCUGGCUGCCUUUGGCCAUUCCUACAGAGUAUGCCUGGGUGUCCCUGCAUAGCUGCAAUUCAGCAACGUCAAAGAAGAAAGGAGACCCUCCAGUUCCCAGCUAUGUUUUUCUCUCUGCAUGGCAGUAAUAGUGUCUUCAGUGUUUCCUUACAUGGAUCAAGUGGAAGAAAAAAGAAUCGGAUUGGUCCGUGAGCACUGUUUGGCCUGGGGAAUAGCCUAUCAUGGCCAUAUUUGCUUCACUACUUUCAUCUGUUUGGCUUGAAAUAUCUCCGCACUCUUUAUGUUUGGGACUGGAAGGCAAAGAAAAGAAGUCUUGGAGCAGCCCCACCCCAGUGGAAAUAAAGGACAUUUUGCAGCCUGUCUUCCCAGACAGCCAAAGAGCUCUGAACCCCAAGAUUCUAGAUGCUUCCUGACUUGAGCCUCACAAUCCUCCCAAAGCCAGCAUGAUAUUUCCCGCAAAAACCACAGCAGCCUGACCGCCUCAUCAAAAGUUUAGUAGCCGAGAACUUAAAAAGAAAAAGAAAAAAAAGGCUACUAUUGCUUAUGCUCCCAACAUCAACCAUUUUACAAACUGCAUUUCAGAAUAUUUGCUAACAUGUUCUGACAAAGAAUAAUAAUUAAUCAGAAGCUCCCCAGCUUGCGUGAAGAACAACAACAAUAAUAGUCAUUAAGAGCCUGUUCUGGGUCUUUCUCUCAUGCUAAGGCUCGAGUUUGGUUGUGAUGAAAAGAAAGUCACUGUAAGAACAUUACAUCUACGUUACUCAGCUCUCACUCAGGAAGCUUAUUAAUCUCAGUGAGUGGAUCUGACACAACUUUGCAGAACUCUAGAAGUCACAUAGCUGGAGUAGAGGGAGCGAUUCUGUGUAUGUUAUUUCACCACAUUUACAGACCAUAGAAAUAAUGUAGCCAAUCGACAUGCCCUCACUGACAUCUAGUGCUCCGAUUUCUCUCCACCAGCUCUGAUUUGAGAUGGUUUGACUAGUUAAAGCUCAUUGCACAAUGGCUGGUGCUACAGAGCCGGAAAUGCUAGGUCAGCAACCAAACCACUAAAGUCAUAAGCGCCUGCUGCAUAAAUGCCCAUGUUUCAUCUUUAGCGGGCUUCAAAGUUAAAUAGCGAAGACAGACAAUGCAAAGAAAAAUAUGACUGCGGUAAAACACGGCAAUUACACGAUGGCUAAAAUUAAGUCUUCGUAUCAAUCAUGCAUUUUUAAUGUGAACAUUUAUGGAAAUCUCUCUUAAUGUUUAGGCAGUAUUUUUCUUCAUUGGUUAUUUAUGAUGCUGUGAGCUGCAAGCACAAGCUAAAUGGGAAAGCCAGAGAACGGGAUUUGCUUAACAGUCAACAACCUUGUCCUACUGUAAAUAAAAAAGAGAAAGCCCAUCAUCUCUUCAAGCGCAUCUUCAUAAAUAAACUUAAAAAGAAAAGCCGUCAGAGUCCAUCACAUCUUUUUUCCUUCCUAACCUGGAAGUCCCUAUUCCAUAAUGCCUGAUUGGUUUCUUUUCUCUACUAGGGGCUCUCCACCAUGCGAUUUAGUUCACUGUUAUUAUUUGGCAUGUGAAUAUCAGGGAAAACAUUUUUUAAUACAGUUGAAGAGCUAAUAAUUGAAUGCCUUCAGCCAAGUGAA